UGGGUAUGCAAGAAAAAACAUGUGAGGUGGAGGUUGACGGGGGGUUUGCAAGUAUAAACCACUGCAAACUCAUCGUCAGCCUUCUCACCUUUCAUGAUCAAUCUACAGAAGAAGGA
rnacentral:precursor_RNA from 12 species